rnacentral:lncRNA from 1 species
GGAAGGGCGGCGUAGAAGAGGAAAGGCUGGGGGUUUCGGAUGGUUGUUUUUGAAGCCAUCAGUAUUCUUGAAGAAGCAGCAUAUCUUGAACUGUCCUAUGGGUGAAGGCUUUGAUGUGGUCCUGUAAAAACUGGCAUUGAAAUGGAUGGCAUCUGAUCCUGCUUCAUGUGAUUCUUCAUUUAGCUCUGGACUCUUUACAUCAUUAAGGCUUUUUCUUUGCAGGAAUUUAAAAGCAACCCUAUGAAUAUAACAUUUGUCAAAAAGAGCAAGUGCCAAGCCAGUUGAGAAUAACCUUACAAUGUGUACAAGGAUUCCAGCUUAUGCAACAUGAAAAUGGCAAGGAUGAAGACCUUUAUGAUGAUCCAUUUCCAUUUAAUGAAUAGAAGAAGUGUUAUCAAUUCUGUUGAUGGACCCCUUAAUCUCUUCUACUGAUUAUCUUCUACUUGAACCAGUGCCAAAUUAAUGUUGCAAGCUUUGUCUUGAAAUAUUUUCUUCUGAGCAUCAGCCAGAGAUCACUGAUUGGUUCACAGGAAUAAGCAGGGUUACUCUAAACUGCUUGAAAAGGAAACCUCAAAAACAACUGAUGAAACUAGAAUUUAAUAACAAGUGUACCAUAAUUCUUGAAACAUAAUUUUUCUCUCUCUAGUCUUUCAUUUUUACCAAAGACAAAUCAUGAAACAUGCACUAACCAGUGGAAAAGCUUGCCUAAGUGAUUGUUGUCAUAAUGACACGGAUUCAAUGAAUAAUUCUAUUCAUGGAAUUUCAUCAGCUUAAUAAGGAAAGAGUAAACAAAACAUCACUAUAACUGUGUACAAAGUUGGAAUGUUUGCAUUUAUCAGCAAGUACUAAUUUAUUGAAGGUCCAUUAUAAACAGCCCUUUUUUAUGUAAUGUAAAAGUCUUAAUGUAAAGACACUUACAUUAAUAUUACAACUAGUUUUAAAUUAUUAUUCCUUCAGAGUGGCAGGUGCUAAUCGAUGUUUAAUGUUGUCUUUUUCUUUAUUUUAUGUAGGUCCAUAAGGCCUUUUAAAAUAAAAAUAAGAUGUAUAAUGUACAUUAAUCUUUACUCACAAAUUAAUAUUUAUUAUAAUGAUUUUUGGAAAGGUACUUUAAAGAAAACAAUAAAAUCAUGACUCAUAGAUCACUUCUUUUUAGUAUUAAUAAUUUUCUGUUAACUUGAAUGGGUAUAUAUAAAUUCUAUGGUCUUAAAACAAAAAUUAUUGCUUCAAUUGAUCUUGAUUUGUGACUUUAUAUUGCUAGAGUUUAUGCU